CCCCAAGAAGAUGUUGUGUCCCUCUUGUUACAGCUUCUAGAGGCCGUCUAUCAAAUGCCCGAAAGCUUCCUGAUACCACAUAGACACGGCACAAACUGAAUUCAUGCCUCAACUGCAUUCAAGUGGACAGCCAAAUAAUGUCGGAGCUUUUCCUAUAUAGAACACCAUGGUUUUCUUCAAUCCAAUCACUCGAUUAUCCGAUGAGUAAACAUAACCAGGUGAGCCUGUGGCCUUCCAGUACCCGGUUGCUGUAGUCCGAUUAGGUCGCCCUCCCCUAGCUUCUCUCGCUUGCCUGGGUGUAAAGAAGAACCACUGCUCCGCGUUGCCUCGACAUAAUUCUCCUGAAAGCUCUGCAACAUAUUGCAAGAGACAAACUAAAGUUACUUGAAGCAUUUUUAACAGUCCUGUGCCAUGCUUAUCAGUAGUUAAAAAAGAAAAGAAGUGGAUGAAAAAGAUUUUUACGUGGAAGAUCCCCCGGCUCGAUGUCGUAUAUGCUGAUCUCUGGAAUCACACGUUGCAGUUCUUGUCUCGUCCCUUCCAGCUUAUUAUGCAAGUAGAAGGAGACUAGCUCUUCUUCCGUUGGGUAGAAGCGGUAACCUAGAGGGAGUUCUUCCAUUCUUGCACUUGUUGUUCUUGUGUUUUGAUACUCCUUUUGUUUGCCCGAGCUGUGUAUGCUUAUAUACACACACACAGAGAGACACUUUGUCGAUGGAAAAAAGAAGAAGAUGGAUUUGCCGAGUGAAAUGAGAAAAAAAUGCAAAGUCUGUGAUUGGUGGAAACUUCCACGCGGUUGCAAGGAGAUGAAGUUUUUAUCCUAUGAUGCUGAUACACUUGUCUAAACAUUAUCUCUCGUCCAAUGAAAUCUCUUUUGAACAAGUCAGUGCACCUUUCCGCUUCUCCAUUGCCUCUCUGUCAGACAGUUUUCAAGGGGUGGUGGGGCUUGUUUUUGCUGUGAGGAGCAGACAAGCUGGUCCUUGUCCUUGAGGGCUGUAUUCGCUGUAUUUUUGCACCAAUGCCCUUUUCCUUGUUCAGUAAUCAAUACACGUGUUAAGGGCACUCCUGUUUCAAUUUGAUCACUGUAUUAACACAAGCUGCGGUCUCUUUCGCUCUUACCUUGAAUGCCAGGUGAGGUGACGCUAACGUGAGCUUUGCUGCUAAUUAAGUGCGUUUUGCUGAUUUUUUGAA